CGUCUUAUGUUGCCAGCACGUAAUAGGUGGGGACGUCGUAAGAGACUGCCGGGGUCGAACUCGGAGGAAGGUGGGGACGGACGUCAAGUCAUCAUGCCCCUUAUGUCCAGGGCUUCACACAUGCUACAAUGGCCAGUACAGAGGGCUGCGAGACCGUGAGGUGGAGCGAAUCCCUUAAAGCUGGUCUCAGUUCGGAUCGGGGUCUGCAACUCGACCCCGUGAAGUCGGAGUCGCUAGUAAUCGCAGAUCAGCAACGCUGCGGUGAAUACGUUCCCGGGCCUU
rnacentral:rRNA from 1 species